CGAGAUGUCAGUCACCCUGCGUAGUGUCACUGAGUGCACCGAUACUGCUGCUGGUGUCGUGGGAGAAACCAGAACCUAGACUUAAAAAACCCAUCAAUUUUGGAAACAAGGAACCAGCCUCAUAGCAAGAGAUUAUGUGGAGCAAGUUGCCUGCAAACUGCUGUAUUUCCCACCACUAGCCAUGUCCAUACUGAAUAAUUUUGCUGUGUGAAGGAGAACUCCAAAGGAUGAAGCUGAGUUGGAGGAUUUACCCGACAGAGGCAAUGGGACUUCAGUGUAAGGACCUAAUCCAGCCCAAGCGGAGACUUGGAGAGGCAGGCUUCCCACUGAAGUUGUGAUCAGAAAUGGAUGCGUCAGCUGUUAUCUGCAAACUUGCAUGCUUGUAAUCACAACUGCUUGUAUGUGCCAGAAGAAAUUGGAAUAUUUACAGCUUUGCAUUGCAGCCGGAAGGAAACAAUUACAAGUGAAAUACAAACAUACAGUCACAUACAUAAAUAUAUGGAAAAGCACAAAUAUGUGCAUAGACAUGCACAUUCACACUGGUCUUUAAAUAGGAUGCCAACAGGAACAAGCAGAACACAUGUUUGCAAGUAGAAAACGUUACCAUAGAGGCAGAAUAUAAAAGCAUGUAGAAGCAGAGGAGAAGGCAGGUGACACAAGCACAGAAGUUGUGGUAGCAGCGGUGGCGUGGUGCAUCUCUUCUGUUUCAGGACUUCCAUGUGAGGACAAUACAUAAAGAUGGCUGCCUAAUGAAACCAAGAACUGGCCUGGAUAAUACGAAACCAACACGUCAGAUGAGAAAAGAAGCUGCCAUCCAACCGAGAGGCUACCAACCUUCUGAUAAAUGGAUGCUUCUUGAAGUGUCAGCUUUCCCAUGACACGCCCUGUAGAGAUUUGUAAUGAGUGAAGCUGAAAACACGAACCCAUGUUUUCCCUGCUGACAUUUUAAUAUUUCACUGGUGCAUCAGCAGAACAGAUGAGGUGAUGUCUGAUGCCUGCGCACCAAGGUCGAUGAGCCUUGGGUCGAUACUGCACAGAGGCAGCCUGCUCGGGGCACGCGGCCACUGGCCCAGGUAAACGUCUCUCUGUUACACAGGCAGGAGCUCUUUCCACUGCGUGUGGCGGAGAUGCUUGUGCACACUAGGACUACUGAUGAGUAAA